ACCCGCCAGAUUCCUUUCCCCUCAGAUCUAAAUAUUGCUCGGAAUGCCCUAAAAGAUGAGGAAAAGUCAGCCGAAGUGGACUUGGAGUCUACAGUGACAGACAAGUUCAUUUCAAACAGAU
rnacentral:snoRNA from 1 species